rnacentral:ncRNA from 1 species
AGGAUGGAAAUGGCUCCCAUCGCGCCUCCGCAGGGAGGAACCUGAGAUGCAGGAUACGCCGGCCCACCGAC